UGGGGGAUCGUCUAGCGGCAGGACGCAUGACUCUGGAUCAUGCUACCGAGGUUCGAAUCCUCGUCCCCCAGCCA
rnacentral:tRNA from 1 species